rnacentral:tRNA from 2 species
CAAGAAAUAGCUUAAAUUUAAAGCGAUUUAUUUACAUUAAAAGGAUACAUUUUUUUGUUUUUUUGA